rnacentral:rRNA from 1 species
UACGUAGGGUGCAAGCGUUGUUCGGAAUUACUGGGCGUAAAGAGUGUGUAGGCGGUGCUCCAAGUCUGGUGUGAAAUCUCCCGGCUUAACUGGGAGGGUGCAUUAGAAACUGGAAUGCUAGAGGAUGGGAGAGGUAAGCGGAAUUCCUGGUGUAGCGGUGAAAUGCGUAGAUAUCAGGAGGAACACCUGUGGUGUAGACAGCUUACUGGACCAUUUCUGACGCUGAGACACGAAAGCGUGGGUAGCAAGCAGG